GAAAUGCGAUAACUAGUGUGAAUUGCAGAAUUCCGUGAAUCAUCGAGUCUUUGAACGCACAUUGCGCCCCCUGGUAUUCCGGGGGGCAUGCCUGUCCGAGCGUCAUUGCUGCCCAUCAAGCACGGCUUGUGUGUUGGGUCGUCGUCCCCUCUCCGGGGGGGACGGGCCCCAAAGGCAGCGGCGGCACCGCGUCCGAUCCUCGAGCGUAUGGGGCUUUGUCACCCGCUCUGUAGGCCCGGCCGGCGCUUGCCGAACGCAAAUCAAUCUUUUUCCAUGUUGACCUCGGAUCAGGUAGGGAUACCCGCUGAACUUAAGC
rnacentral:misc_RNA from 1 species